UAAGAAGAAGAUAGCACACUUGCUCAGAGGACGGCUUUUCACUUGGCGCUGUCGUGCCCAGGACUGGGCUCCAAAAGCAAGCACGUGAAACAACAACCAGCUGGUAGAGCUACUUACACCAGGAAAAGAAAUGCUGAGAAGGAGAGCUGAGGAGAGCAGUGACCACCAGGAAAGCGAGUAUGGGGUAUGAAACAAGAAGAUUUGGCCUUACAUUGGGUCCUCACAGCAGUCUUUUCCCACUGAAAUUUCUGUAUCUGCUGAGGGAUUCUCUGUGCGUUGACCUGUAGAUGGCUGUGGUGGACCAGGGUAUGAAUAUGGGCACUGCACACCAGACGUGGAGACAGGAUCCGAUUAUUUGCCUUGCAGACGACGGACUCGCUGAAAGGCUCACAUCCAAUUAUCUGUAAAACAAUAAUUUUGGAAGCUGAAGGUAUUUUCCAUUACUCGGGCCCAAGCCUUUCAGGAGCCUACUGCCUUUUCAAAGAAUCUCACAUCUGCCACAAGUUGGAGGAAAUCAGCACAUCAGUGCAUUCACUUCAUGCCUCCAGUUAGUCAAGGAAGUGGCAACAGCUGGCUUUCUACUAGUGUGUUUUUCACUCAAUCACAGUUCUCCUUAUACUCUCUACUGCAACACUAUUAUUUCCUAUUAGUCAUUUUGCUACAUGAACUACAACAUGCUGACACUGUGGAGUGAUUUACAGAUGGAGACAGUGAUACCUUAUUAAGAGAAAAUGACUUUGCUUCUGAAUGCCUAAGUCAGCUCCUAAGGGCUGGCAAAGACUCCUCAAGGUCACAGUCAGCUUUGCAUGGCACUUGUAUACUGCUCCUGGUGUGAAUUGCCUCUGAACGUGCCUUCACCUGUCAGUUCCGUUGAGAUAUUUUUGAAUGUCAUAAACUCCUACAUCUUGAAGCCAGGUGCUGAAAGAAUCCCUAUUAUUAUCGCUACACUGUCAGCAACAAUAUCAACAGUUAAUAAGUGAUGAUAGGGAUAUAAAUGCCUGGUUCCUGUGUACAGCUUGUCAUUUGCAGUCAGAUCUAACACUGCUAAAGGAGACUCUGGGAGCGAAAUCUGGAAAAAAAAAAUGCGUGUCUUCUGAGGAAUGUCUGCAAAAUGGCAUCCAUGUUUAAUUCCGCUUAAUCUUUUCUAACUUCAAUGUGCUCUGCACAUUAAAAAAAAAAAAAAAAAA